CUGCUGUGAUGUUUUCUUAGGACACCUUUGAUAUAUUUGUGUGAAAUUAAUCAAGAAUUCUGAGCAGC